rnacentral:rRNA from 1 species
UUAAGUGACUAAGCGUACACGGUGGAUGCCUUGGCAGUCAGAGGCGAUGAAGGACGUAUUAACUUGCGAUAAGCCCAGAUUAGGUAGUAAAAACCAUUUGAGUCUGGGAUUUCCGAAUGGGGAAACCCACUAGCAUAAGCUAGUAUCGCUGCGUGAAUACAUAGCGCAGCGAGGCGAACCGGGGGAACUGAAACAUCUAAGUACCCCGAGGAAAAGAAAUCAACCGAGAUUCCGAAAGUAGCGGCGAGCGAAAUUGGACUAGCCCUUAAGCUUUUUAUGCGUCAGGUGAAACUUCUGGAAAGUUGUGCGAUACAGGGUGAUAGCCCCGUAACCGGCAACGCAUAUAAAGUGAAAUCGAGUAGGGCGGGACACGUGAUAUCCUGUCUGAAUAUGGGGGACCAUCCUCCAAGGCUAAAUACUACUGACUGACCGAUAGUGAACCAGUACCGUGAGGGAAAGGCGAAAAGAACCCCUGUGAGGGGAGUGAAAUAGAACCUGAAACCGUGUACGUACAAGCAGUAGGAGCACCUUCGUGGUGUGACUGCGUACCUUUUGUAUAAUGGGUCAGCGACUUAUAUUCAGUGGCAAGGUUAACCAUCUAGGGAGCCGUAGCGAAAGCGAGUGUUAACUGCGCGACUCAGUCGCUGGAUAUAGACCCGAAACCAGGUGAUCUAGCCAUGGGCAGGUUGAAGAUUGAGUAACAUCAAUUGGAGGACCGAACCGACUAAUGUUGAAAAAUUAGCGGAUGACUUGUGGCUAGGGGUGAAAGGCCAAUCAAACCUGGAGAUAGCUGGUUCUCCCCGAAAGCUAUUUAGGUAGCGCCUCGGACGAAUACUACUGGGGGUAGAGCACUGUUAAGGCUAGGGGGUCAUCCCGACUUACCAACCCUUUGCAAACUCCGAAUACCAGUAAGUACUAUCCGGGAGACACACGGCGGGUGCUAACGUCCGUCGUGGAGAGGGAAACAACCCAGACCGCCAGCUAAGGUCCCAAAUUACUACUAAGUGGGAAACGAUGUGGGAAGGCUCAGACAGCCAGGAUGUUGGCUUAGAAGCAGCCAUCAUUUAAAGAAAGCGUAAUAGCUCACUGGUCGAGUCGGCCUGCGCGGAAGAUGUAACGGGGCUAAGUAGUAAACCGAAGCUGCGGCAAUGCACUUUGUGCAUUGGGUAGGGAGCGUUCUGUAAGCGGUUGAAGGUGUGUGGUAACGCAUGCUGGACGUAUCAGAAGUGCGAAUGCUGACAUGAGUAACGAUAAAGGGGUGAAAAACCUCCUCGCCGGAAGACCAAGGGUUCCUGUCCAACGUUAAUCGGGGCAGGGUAAGUCGACCCCUAAGGCGAGGCCGAAAGGCGUAGUCGAUGGGAAACGGGUUAAUAUUCCCGUACUUCUUACAAUUGCGAUGGGGGACGGAGAAGGCUAGGUGGGCCUGGCGACGGUUGUCCAGGUUCAAGUGCGUAGGCUGAGAAAUUAGGUAAAUCCGGUUUCUCUUAAGGCUGAACACGACGUCGAGCUACUACGGUAGUGAAGUCAUUGAUGCCAUGCUUCCAGGAAAAGCCUCUAAGCUUCAGAUUGUAAGGAAUCGUACCCCAAACCGACACAGGUGGUCGGGUAGAGAAUACCAAGGCGCUUGAGAGAACUCGGGUGAAGGAACUAGGCAAAAUGGUACCGUAACUUCGGGAGAAGGUACGCUCUUGAUGGUGAAGUCCCUUGCGGAUGGAGCUGACGAGAGUCGCAGAUACCAGGUGGCUGCAACUGUUUAUUAAAAACACAGCACUGUGCAAAAUCGUAAGAUGACGUAUACGGUGUGACGCCUGCCCGGUGCCGGAAGGUUAAUUGAUGGGGUUAGACUUCGGUCGAAGCUCUUGAUCGAAGCCCCGGUAAACGGCGGCCGUAACUAUAACGGUCCUAAGGUAGCGAAAUUCCUUGUCGGGUAAGUUCCGACCUGCACGAAUGGCGUAAUGAUGGCCACGCUGUCUCCACCCGAGACUCAGUGAAAUUGAAAUCGCUGUGAAGAUGCAGUGUACCCGCGGCUAGACGGAAAGACCCCGUGAACCUUUACUACAGCUUGGCACUGAACAUUGACCCUACAUGUGUAGGAUAGGUGGGAGGCUUUGAAGCAAGUACGCCAGUAUUUGUGGAGCCGUCCUUGAAAUACCACCCUUGUAGUGUUGAUGUUCUAACGUCGACCCCUAAUCGGGGUUGCGGACAGUGCCUGGUGGGUAGUUUGACUGGGGCGGUCUCCUCCCAAAGAGUAACGGAGGAGCACGAAGGUGGGCUAAUCACGGUUGGACAUCGUGAGGUUAGUGCAAUGGCAUAAGCCCGCUUGACUGCGAGAAUGACAAUUCGAGCAGGUGCGAAAGCAGGUCAUAGUGAUCCGGUGGUUCUGAAUGGAAGGGCCAUCGCUCAACGGAUAAAAGGUACUCCGGGGAUAACAGGCUGAUACCGCCCAAGAGUUCAUAUCGACGGCGGUGUUUGGCACCUCGAUGUCGGCUCAUCACAUCCUGGGGCUGAAGUCGGUCCCAAGGGUAUGGCUGUUCGCCAUUUAAAGUGGUACGCGAGCUGGGUUUAGAACGUCGUGAGACAGUUCGGUCCCUAUCUGCCGUGGGCGUUGGAAGAUUGAAGGGGGCUGCUCCUAGUACGAGAGGACCGGAGUGGACGAACCUCUGGUGUUCGGGUUGUGUCGCCAGACGCAUUGCCCGGUAGCUAAGUUCGGAAUCGAUAACCGCUGAAAGCAUCUAAGCGGGAAGCGAGCCCUGAGAUGAGUCUUCCCUGAUACUUUAAGUAUCCUAAAGGGUUGUUCGAGACUAGAACGUUGAUAGGCAGGGUGUGUAAGCGUUGUGAGGCGUUGAGCUAACCUGUACUAAUUGCCCGUGAGGCUUAACCA